rnacentral:misc_RNA from 1 species
GAAAUGCGAUAAGUAAUGUGAAUUGCAGAAUUCAGUGAAUCAUCGAAUCUUUGAACGCACCUUGCGCCCUUUGGUAUUCCGAAGGGCACGCUUGUUUGAGUGUCAUUAAAUUCUCAACCUUGCAAUUCAUUUUGUAAGGCUUGGAUGUGAGGGCUUGCUGGCUUCCUUCAGUGGCGGUCUGCUCCCUUUAAAUGCAUUAGUGGGAUCCUUUGUGGACGGUCACUUGGUGUGAUAAUAUAUCUACGCCUUGUAACUGUGAAGCAAAACUUGUGGGAACCUGCUUUCUAACCGUCUGUAAUGGACAAUUUGAACCUUUUGACCUCAAAUCAAGUGGGACUACCCGCUGAACUUAA